rnacentral:lncRNA from 1 species
UCUUAUACGUGAAUAGUGCCUUAUACGUGAAUAGUAACCUCGACACAAAAAGUUCUAAAUUUGAUUAAAAGUUCAGAUCAAUACUUCGGCAUAAUGAUAUUGAAAUAAAUAAUAUCAUAUAUGAAAAAAAUAACAUCCCUUACCUCGAAAAGACGGUACUCCUGACUGAAAUACUAGAUAUAGUGCUGAAGGGAACUUGCACCGUAUAACAACACUCAAGGUAUCAAAAUACUCACAAGAAUAC